rnacentral:rRNA from 1 species
UACGUAGGGGGCUAGCGUUGUCCGGAUUUAUUGGGCGUAAAGAGCGUGUAGGCGGCCAGGUAGGUCCGCUGUGAAAGUCCGAGGCUCAACCUCGGAAUGUCGGCGGAAACCCGCUGGCUAGAGUCCGGAAGAGGAGAGUGGAAUUCCCGGUGUAGCGGUGAAAUGCGCAGAUAUCGGGAAGAACACCCGUGGCGAAGGCGGCUCUCUGGAACGGUACUGACGCUGAGACGCGAAAGCGUGGGGAGCGAACAGG